AGCUUCGGCCAUCCGGCGAGGGAUGGGCCCGCGGUGCAUUAGCUAGUUGGUGGGGUAACGGCCCACCAAGGCUACGAUGCGUAGCUGGUCUGAGAGGAUGAUCAGCCACACUGGGACUGAGACACGGCCCAGACUCCUACGGGAGGCAGCAGCCAGGAAUCUUGGGCAAUGGGCGAAAGCCUGACCCAGCAACACCGUGUGGGCGAUGAAGGCCUUCGGGUCGUAAAGCCCUGUUGAUAGGGACGAAGGGCGAAGGGUUAAUAGCCC
rnacentral:rRNA from 1 species